AUUGAACGCUGGCGGCAUGCUUUACACAUGCAAGUCGAACGGUAACAGGUUAAGCUGACGAGUGGCGAACGGGUGAGUAAUGCAUCGGAACGUGCCCGAUCGUGGGGGAUAACGCAGCGAAAGUUGUGCUAAUACCGCAUACGUACUGAGGUAGAAAGUGGGGGACCUUCGGGCCUCACGCUAUUCGAGCGGCCGACGUCUGAUUAGCUAGUAGGUGAGGUAAAGGCUCACCUAGGCGACGAUCAGUAGCGGGUCUGAGAGGAUGAUCCGCCACACUGGGACUGAGACACGGCCCAGACUCCUACGGGAGGCAGCAGUGGGGAAUUUUGGACAAUGGGCGAAAGCCUGAUCCAGCCAUGCCGCGUGCCUGAAGAAGGCCUUCGGGUUGUAAAGGACUUUUGUCAGGGAGGAAAUCCCUAGUGCUAAUAACACUGGGGGAUGACAGUACCUGAAGAAUAAGCACCGGCUAACUACGUGCCAGCAGCCGCAGUAA
rnacentral:rRNA from 1 species